rnacentral:piRNA from 1 species
UGGUUAAGCAGAGAGCAAAUGAAGAAGU